GAUGAAGAACGUAGCGAAAUGCGAUACUUGGUGUGAAUUGCAGAAUCCCGUGAACCAUCGAGUCUUUGAACGCAAGUUGCGCCCGAAGCCAUUUGGUUGAGGGCACGUCUGCCUGGGCGUCACACGUCGUUGCCCCCCCAUCUACUCCUUCGGGAUUGCGGGGGGCGGAUGAUGGCCUCCCGUGCGCCUCGUCGCGCGGUUGGCAUAAAUGCCAAGUCCUCGGCGACGCACGCCACGACAAUCGGUGGUUGCGAAACCUCGGUUGCCCGUCGUGUGCGGUCGUCGCGCAUCGAGGGCUCGAAAAAAUUGCCGGGCUCCGGCUCGGCUUUCAACGCGACCCCAGGUCAGGCGGGGUUACCCGCUGAAUUUAAGCAUAUCAAUAAGCGGAGGA
rnacentral:misc_RNA from 1 species